CUAUUUUUUUAUUUUUCAGCAAAAACCUUUCCAAAUUCUCUCAUUCAUUCAUCAUUCUCACGUUUCUCUCUUCUUUUUACCUCACUCACAAUAAAAACCCUAAUUUUUUUUUCUUCACUCACCAAACCCUCACUCGUUUGUAAAUCUGAAUCCCUAAACCCAUCAAUCAGAAUCCUCUUUCUCUCCGUUCAUCGUUCUGAGAAUCACCAAACCCAUCCAUGGAAUCCCUCACUCGUAUUCGCUUGUAACCCUCGUUCCUCUUUCCCCUCAAAUGUCACCAAUGAUUCUGAGAACCACUUUUGAAAUAGCGAUUCUCAAACAUCAGCUCUUGUCAGAUCCCAUCGAUUUGAGAGGUUCUCAAACAUGUCUCACUCACCGACGAAAAGGUUUCUCAAAGGUUCAUUUUCUAUUGUGGUAUUGAAUUCUGCUUGUGUGGAAAGCUAUUUGUGAGCUUUGGAAAUCUUUUGACAAAGGACUAUAUAACUCCGAUCAGAAGUUCACCGUCGCCUCUUACAGCACCACUGGAGUGUCAAUUGAAUUCAUAAGAUAUUGUCAAGAGUGUAUGCACUCAUACUCAAGAUGCUACUCCUUUGAUUCUCGGACAAGAUUUUAGUGGGUCUACUACGCACGAAAGUGAUCAAAUAUACAAGGAGCUAGGAUUUGCGGACAGAAUCACACUCAUAUAGCAGUGGAAAAUAAUGUUUGUGUACUGUCAUUGGUAAAACUUUUCAAUUUUUCUUCAUUCCCUCAUAUUUUAAUGAUUUAUAUUCUUACUUCAUCUCGGUUCUAUUCUCUGUUCUACUUGGUUGAGUGUGUUGCUUGUUUAGAUAUCUUGUAAGAUUCAUAAUUGAUUAAGUGCUAGUCUACUAUGUUGGAAUUCUUGGUCAUAGAAACAAAGCAUCACUACUAAUGUAUGCUUUUUGUUUUAUGUGUUGUUUUUUCUCUAGCUCUUUUCCUGUGUAUUUGUUUCUGGUUUUCUGUUUUUUUAGGUGCAGGCUUAUGGCGUUUUUCCCUUAGUGUAUCCAUCUGUUUGGGAUUAUUGCUGCUACUGGUGCUAGUUUAAUUUUUGCUUUGACACUUUAUUGGUGUUUUGCUGUAGCUAGCUGGGUGUUUUUAAGUUCUUUCUUCUAGUGUUUUGUAGUCCUUUAAUGUUUCUUUGGUUGGGCUUUGGUCUUGUAAUGGUAACGUUUUAGUACACCUUGUAUUCUUAGGUCAAGACUUCUCAUCUCUAGGUAAAAAGUUAUUGUGGUCAAGACUUUGAAGAUCUUGUUCACAAAUGUUUCUUGUUUCUCAAUUAUUUCAUUAUGGCUACUAUCUUUGAGAUGUCAUGCAUGGGAUGAUAUCCCGUAAUCGUAACAAAUGUCUAUCUAGCAUGAUGGGAAUGCAGGUACUGGAUGCAAUUGAGUUAAUGCCAUUUUAUUUUAUAAGAUAGUAUUAAUUUAUUUUGAAUGAUCUAUUAAACCGGUGUAUUUAAAGUUUUCCUAGAUUCAUAGGCAUAUUGGUCCAAGGAUGCAGUAUGAGUUAUACUAAUGACAUUAUUUUUGUCGCAUUUCUAAGUUAUCAAUUGUAUAAAUACAAUUGUGUUCUUGGCUUUCUUUUAUGCCUUUGACUCUUUAUCUUUGGUUUUGAUGACCUUAAUGAGUACAUUGGUAGAGAUUUUAUGAUUGUUAUCUUUGGUUUUGAUAUUUUAAUGAAUAUAUUGGUAGAGAUUUUAUGGUUGUGAGAAA